CGCUGUGAUUGCACCCCAUACAAAAACCUACCUACAAAAGCAGACUGCAUUUGCAUUCUAAAGUCUCGCGGACAGAACUCAGGAGCCCUGAAUAAGGUCCAAGCAGCCGAGGACAAUGAAGGCUUCUCUGUCUACCUGGCAGCUUGGCGGGACCCAGGCCUAGGACAGACAGGCACUCAGGGCGACCGGAGGAUCCUUGCCGCCCAGGGAUCCCAGCGGCCCUCCUAGGGGAGGAGAGGUUCUCUAGGUUUACCUACAGAGCAAUCUGAUGAAGGUAUUUCCUCAACUGAAGUUCCUGCUUCUUAGACGGCCCGACCUGAUGUCAAGCUGACUGGAAACUAACACAGCUUUCUACCAGACCAUCAAAGAAUUCCUCCUUCAGAAGGGUGAGUUUCAACAACAGCUACCCAACUUACUCAGCUGACUGGAUGGUGAAUGGCAGGCAAACAUUGGUAGCGCUUUCCCAACUCUGACUCAGUCUCCCUCAUUUCCUCUACUGUCGCUGGUGGUGACUUCACAAGGCGGUCUCUCCUUGGGGACUGCCACUCAUUUCCUAAGAUGUCUCGAUUCAUGCUGGGGUCUGCCAACUGAGGAAGGAAAAGGAGAACUGACACUUGGCCUGCAAGCCCAACCUACAGGGACUGCUGCCCACUGAGACUACCCUGUAACGUGAGACCUACCUCCCUCCUCCCAGCACUGAACUCACAAGAUGCUUGCAUUCACUGGUUUGAUACAUGGGACUCUACCCCCCCCCCCCCCACUCCCGCCAUAGCCACCCCCUUUCUUUCCCCCCUCCUGCCCACAACACAUAACAGGCACCUUCUCUAGCAAGAAGCUCUGACUGAGAACUGCCCGGACCACG
ensembl:lncRNA LOC102549668 uncharacterized LOC102549668